UACUUAUCCGCUGCUGUAUGCUCCAAAGGAAGUUGUGUAGUUCUUUUCACGCCCCAGAAGAAGCAGAUUUAGCGAAACGUUGGGUGGUGUCAGAGGUCCUGCUGUGUCUCCACUAGGACCUUGCACCAAACCUUUUUAGGUUUGAGGGGAUGGAUGCAAAGAUGAAGUAACUAGGAAUCAAAUGACUUGAAAUCACCUCUCCAAGAAAAAUUUCAGAGCUCGGUCAAUGUUCAUUCGAUGGCCAACUCUUGUAACACCCAGGUCAAUGUAAUCCUCCUUGGUCAGUGAUGGGAGCAUUGCCUUAUGGAAGACUGGCAGCAUGACUGUAAGGAGAAUCAAUACCUUUCAGGAGGACUCUAUGUAGCAUAGCCAACUAAAAUUGUAGCCUGUACUAAUAAGAAAACAACAACUCUGAAAAAGUUCUCUUUGAUAGAUGUCUCCAGUUUAAUAACCUGAGGGGGUCAGACAUUGAUUAAAAGUCUUUUCAAAUGGGCAGACCCAUGGCCAAUAGGAGUGCCAACCUAGUAGAUCGAUGUUCAUCAAAGGAGCUUUUUACAUGGCUCAUUAUCGUUUGGGUAGGGCCACCCAAAUAAUUCUUGUAGCCCUUCAUGUUCAUCAUUGUUAGAAUUAUACACAGGGAGAACUGCUUCUAACUGACAAUGAAUGUAGCUAAUCCAUUGGGGUGCUGUGACCAAAGCUUGACCAUCCCUGCUUCUCAUGUAAUGUUAGAUUGCAGACUUUCUUGACAAAAGCCCAGGUGAUUAUAACAUUAGAACAGAUACACAGUACCAUCAUUGUGACUCAUUUCCUGAGUGAUCUCAGGCUAAAUUCUAAAGCUGGGAACGAAGCCAAUGAAAAAAAAAAAAAAAUACAAUCUAUGCUUCCAAAAAAAUUGUUAAAAAUCAAUUUGACAUCAUCGCCAAAGUAACAAUUUCAAUAUUUAAGGUUUUUAAUGGAAAUUUCUGAAGAAGAGGUUUUCAUUUUAUAUUUAUGUAUAAUGCCAAUAGCAAAGUAUGAUAUGUAAUGGCCCAUUUUCUGGGACAU